rnacentral:rRNA from 1 species
GGAUAGCGGAGAAAUUCCAAUCGAACUCGGAGAUAGCUGGUUCUCCUCGAAAUAGCUUUAGGGCUAGCCUUGAGGUAAAGUCUAAUGGAGGUAAAGCACUGAUUGGACGCGGGUCCCCAAAAGGAUACCAACUUCUAUCAAACUCAGAAUGCCAUAUAGAUAUACUCAGGAGUCAGACUAUGUGAGAUAAGUUUCAUAGUCAAAAGGGAAAGAGCCCAGACCGACAGCUAAGGUCCCAAAGUGUGUGUUAAGUGGAAAAGGAUGUUAGGUUUCUAAGACAACUAGGAUGUUGGCUCAGAAGCAGCCACUCAUUUAAAGAGUGCGUAACAGCUCACUAGUCGAGAGGUCUAGCGCCGAAAAUGUCCGGGGCUAAAACACACCACCGAAGCUACGGAAUUACCUAUGGUAAUUGGUAGAGGAGCAUUCUGUAAGGAUGAAGCACAAUUGAAAGAGAGUGUGGACGAAACAGAAGAGAGAAUGCCGGAAUGAGUAGCGAGAUAUAUGUGAGAAUCAUAUAGGUCGAAUGUCUAAGGUUUCCUGGGUAAAGCUGAUCUGCUCAGGGUAAGUCGGGACCUAAGGUGAGGGCGAGAGCCGUAAUCGAUGGACAACAGGUAGAAAUUCCUGUACUACGUAUAAUCAGAACUGUGGGGACGCAGGAGGAUAGGAAAACCGGAGAAUGGAAAAAUCCGGCUAAGUACAAAGGUGUGAGUGAUAGGCAAAUCCGUCACUAUUAGCUGAAGUACGAAUGGGAGCGAAGAAAAGUAGCGAAGUUUCUGAAUCCACACUGUCAAGAAAAGCCGCUAUUGCGUUAUACGUACCCGUACCGCAAACCGACACAGGUAGACGAGGAGAAAAUCCACAGACCGACGGGAGAAGUGUUGUUAAGGAACUCGGCAAAAUGACCCCGUAACUUAGGGAUAAGGGGAGCCAACGCAAGUUGGUCACAGAAAAGAGGCUCAAGCGACUGUUUAGCAAAAACAUAGGUCUAUGCGAAACCGUAAGGUGAUGUAUAUGGGCUGACACCUGCCCGGUGCUGGAAGGUCAAAAGGAGAGGUUAGCGUAAGCGAAGCUUUGAAUUCAAGCCCCAGUAAACGGCGGCCGUAACUAUAACGGUCCUAAGGUAGCGAAAUUCCUUGUCAGGUAAGUUCUGACCCGCACGAAAGGUGUAACGAUUUGAGCACUGUCUCGACAACACGCCCGGUGAAAUUGAAGAACCAGUGAAGAUACUGGUUACCCGCAACAGGACGGAAAGACCCCAUGGAGCUUUACUGCAGCUUAAUAUUGGGAUUCGGUAUUGUAUGUACAGGAUAGGAGGGAGACUAAGAAGCUAGCACGCCAGUGUUGGUGGAGUCGAUGGUGGGAUACCUCUCUUAUAAUACUGAAUUUCUAACCUACUUCCGUAAUCCGGAAGAGGGACAUUGUUAGGCGGGCAGUUUGACUGGGGCGGUCGCCUCCGAAAGAGUAACGGAGGCGCUCAAAGGUCUUCUCAGAAUGAUUGGAAACCAUUCAAAGAGUGUAAAGGCAAAAGAAGGCUUGACUGCGAGAGUGACAACUCGAGCAGGUACGAAAGUAGGACUUAGUGAUCCGGUGGUAACAAGUGGGAGUGCCAUCGCUUAACGGAUAAAAGCUACCCUGGGGAUAACAGGCUUAUCUCCCCCAAGAGUUCACAUCGACGGGGAGGUUUGGCACCUCGAUGUCGGCUCAUCGCAUCCUGGGGCUGUAGUAGGUCCCAAGGGUUGGGCUGUUCGCCCAUUAAAGCGGUACGCGAGCUGGGUUCAGAACGUCGUGAGACAGUUCGGUCCCUAUCCGUUGUGGGCGUAGGAAAUUUGAUAGGAGCUGUCCUUAGUACGAGAGGACCGGGAUGGACGAACCUCUGGUGAAUCUGUUGGUAACCAAUGCCACAGCAGAAUAGCCAAGUUUGGAACGGAUAAACGCUGAAGGCAUCUAAGCGUGAAGCCAACCUAAAGACUAGAUUUCCCAUGCGAAAGCAGUAAGACUCCUUGUAGACGACAAGGUUGAUAGGCCAGAGAUGUAAGCACAGUAAUGUGUUCAGUUGACUGGUACUAAUAAGUCGAGGGCUUGACCAA